CCUACGGGUGGCUGCAGUGGGGAAUAUUGGGCAAUGGGCGCAAGCCUGACCCAGCAACGCCGCGUGAAGGAAGAAGGCUUUCGGGUUGUAAACUUCUUUUCUCAGGGACGAAGGAAGUGACGGUACCUGAGAAAAAAGCCCCGGCUAACUACGUGCCAGCAGCCGGGGUAAUACGUGGGGGGCAAGCGUUAUCCGGAUUUACUGGGGGUAAAGGGCGUGUAGGCGGGACUGCAAGUCAGAUGUGAAAACCACGGGCUCAACCUGUGGCCUGCAUUUGAAACUGUAGUUCUGGAGUGCUGGAGAGGUAGACGGAAUUCCUAGUGUAGCGGUGAAAUGCGUAGAUAUUAGGAGGAACACCAGUGGCGAAGGCGGUCUGCUGGACAGCAACUGACGCUGAGGCGCGAAAGCGUGGGGAGCAAACAGGAUUAGAUACCCGGGUAGUC
rnacentral:rRNA from 1 species